rnacentral:lncRNA from 1 species
CUAUAACUCUGGCUGGCCUAGAGCUCACUAUAUAGACCAGGUUGGCCUUGAACUCGAAGGCCUGCCUGCCUCCUGAGUGCUGGGACAAAAGUUAUGCAUCCCUGCAGCCUGGUCAUUUGCUUUUCAUUUAUUCUGUUGGUAUUAUGAAUUAUAUUGCAUAGUUUUAAAAUAUUAAAUCAAUAUUUUGUGUUUUACCUGUAUGACUGAAUCUAUUAUAUCAGUCUUCUGGAGGAGUUCUGCCACAAAGCUUAUAAGGGAAUACUUGCUCUGUACCUUUCUUAUAAUGCCAUGGCCUAGUUUUGGUAUUUGGCUAAUUCUAGGCUGGGUAACUGAUUUAGUCUUCUUAUUUCCCUCAGUUGCUGUUUAGAAUCCAGCCAUGCUUUGCUGGUCAGAGUUUUUACAUACCAGUUACAUAUCAGGAGGACCCAUGCUAGUUUUAACUGGCCUUUCAUCAUUGCCCUUCUAGCCAACCUAUCUCCAAGAGCUGAAGGCUGCAGCUUCAAGGCAUGCUUCACCUGUUCACUUCUCAGUCUUUGCCAUCACACCAGUCAUCUAGUCGCAGCCUUUCAAUGGCUUCUUCUUGUCUUCUUGCUCGUGGGAUAUAAUAUAGAUUUCCUAACAUAGUCUGUGAAGCUGUGUGAUCUCAGAGUGCCCUCCUCUUGGGAUUUGGGGUUUUGUUUUGUUGUUGGUUGUGUGUGUUUGUUUGUUAUUUUUUAGUUUUUUUCUGCUUCUGCUUCCUGAGCACUGGGAUUAAAGGUAUGCACCACCACUGCCCAGCUCAUAUUAUAACCUCAAACACCAGCAUCCUGGAAUCCCCAGCCUUUCAUGCCUCACUUCACUGGCUAGUUUUUGUCAACCUGACACAAGCUAGAGUCAUCCGAGAAGAGGGAAUCUCAGUUGAGAGAAUGCCCCCACAAGGUUGGCCUGUGAGCAAGCCUGUGGUACAUUUUCUUGAUUAAUGAUUUAUGUAGGUGGACACAUGCCAUUGUGGAUAGUGUCACCCCUGAGUAGAAGGUCCUGAGUCAUUUGUAUAGGCUGAGCAAACCAUGAGGAGCAAGCUGGUAAGCAGUGUUCCUCCAUUGCCUUUGCUUCAGUUUCUGCUUUGAGUUCUUGCCCUGGCUUCUGGGUGAUGGAUUGACUGUAAGCUGUAAGGUGAAAUAGACUCUUUCCUCCCAAGUUGCUUUUGGUCAUGUUGUUGUUUUUUUUUUUUUUUUCACAGCAAUAAGCUAAUAAGCUCACACAUUCCUGUUUCUUUCAACACUCAUUAUGUAGCUAAGUCUUACUUAUCUCUCAGGACUCUGCAAAAAUGUCAUUUCCUUUAGGUGGCUUCCUCUGAAACUUGUCUUAGUUAGGAUUUUACUGCUGUGAACAGAUACCAUGAUCAAGGCAAGUCUUAUAAAUGGCAACAUUUAAUUGGGGCUGGGUUUCAGGUUCAGAGGUUCAGUCCAUUGUCAUCAAGGCAGAAGCAUGGCAGCAUCCAAGCAGGCAUGGUGCAGGAGGAGCUGAGCCUUCUACAUCUUUAUCCAAAGGAAGCCAGGAACAGACUGGGCAUCCUUAGGCAUCUAGGAGGAAGAUCUCCAAGCCCAUCCCCACAGUGACACACUUCCUCCAACAAGGCCACACCUUCUAAUCAUGCCACUCCCUGGGACGAACAUAUACAAACCAUCAUAAACCCUCAUCAGAAUAUCCCUUCCUCUUCAUUAUUAUAUCUAAGAUUAGACACAUACAAUAUAUUAAAAACUAUAUAUUAUUUAUAACAUAUAUAUUCAUUCUUGAUAUUUAUGUAUGUGGUAUUGUUUGUACAAGGUCAGUCAGUGGCUGCUUUUUUAAUCUGGAGGACUCUCAUUUGUCUCAGUUAAUUGAAUGAGAUAUAUAGUUGUAAACACUGAAGUCAACCUCCACUAUAAAGAGUCUUAGUUUUGAGCCUUAAGUUUAUUUUAUUUAUUAAUUUAAAAAUUUUAAAAUUUAUUUUAUCUUGUUUUUGAGACAGGGUUUUUCUGUGUAGCCCUACCUGUCCUAUAAGUAGCUCUGUUGACUAGGCUGGCCACAAACUCAGAAAUCUCUGAGUACUCUGCCUCUGCCUCUGAGUACUGGGAUUAAAGGUGUGUGCCACUAUAUCCAGCCUUAAAUUUACUUUAAAACUGGGCUGUAACUUCAAUUUUUUUAAAAAAACCUAUUUUUAAUGAUGGUUCUUAAACACUCUAACCUCCCUUGUAGCCCACCACCCACCAGAGGUAGUGGCAAAGAAAGGAUAACAGGGGAAGUAGACCUAUUUAGAAAGGUUCUUUAGAGCAAAUCCCAUCUGUGUCUUGUAGAAAUCAGUUCACAGGUCGGCAACAGCAGCUCAAUCCACUC